UUUUGUUUAUUUCUGUCUGCAUUCUGCAUAUAACACGCAAGACGUGUCGGUUCAGCCACAGAUUUGUGUUGUUGACCGUCGUCAGGGGCAAGCUCGGCCCAUAACACAUGUCUGACCGUGGUUACAGUGAGCGCUGACUCACGUUCCCUUGUCAAUGAUCAGGGUUUUUACUUACAGGGAAUAAAACUGUAAAUGUAACAGUGACUCUACCGGGAAUAUUUGUCUUGACAUUCUGGAAGACUCCCGCACUUCCACGAUGAUGCAGUUUGCUUUGCCACUUCUCCCAUACUACCUCCCUUCUAGGACGGAAAGGCAGAAGUACUGUAGGCUGAACUUUCGUUAUAUGGUACUUUAUCGGGACAGAAGGUGAACAGCACUGAAUCCGAAGCAUUGGCUUUUCACCUUCCACACACCUCUGUGCAACUAUUGGAGAAGAACUUUGAUUAUGUCUGGCGGCAUUAAUCCAUUAAGUAUCUUGGAAUGCAAAACACUAUGAUCAGCUGUCUACAGUCAAUUAUAUCAAUCUAUUGCACAACAUUAAACAGGAUAUAGCUAAAAGAACUCCCCUGUGCAUUUCAUGGA